UUCCCUGCUCAAAUGCAAGCCCCACGAGGGCAGAGGCAGUGCCUGUCCACCUCAGUCUUGCAACCUCAGAUGCCAGGCAGAAUCCAGCAAAAAGACAGCUAUUGACAUUCACAAGAUUCUUCAUAUAUUAAAAAGUUCUUUCAUCAUGUGUAUCAUCUCAGAAUUUCUUCCCUGUGGUGAUGCUCUGAGGAGAGACACGGGCCCCAGAAUGGUUGCUUGACUCCUUCAAGUUUAUGAGCCUGGAUAAACACAAAAGAAAACUAGAUGCCUCAUUUCUUCACUUCCAGUUUGGUGUGUUUUUCCAGUUUGAGUUGGACUGGGUUCAAUAUGACAAGCAACAAAGAGAAGAACAAUGAAAAAACUGCAGUUUGAGGAAAUGGAGUUUACAACUAUAUUCAAUUAGAAUUAGAGUAGAAAGUGAAAGGAAGGAGAGGAACUGUCAGUAGUUCUUGCUUCCAGGUCUUAUUUUAAGGCCAGGGCCUCCCUUGUGGUUACCAACAUCACGAUACUUCUUCCUAAAUUUAAAAUCAAAUUUCUUCCUCGCAAAACUUACCUUCCCCACCCACCCUACCCAUUAUGCCUCCUGCAUACAUCACCUUGCAAACAAGUCACCUCCUACAAAGCCUCUUGUAACCUCGUGAGCUUGCAUAAGUUCUAUUAUAAUAUCAGAGAGUAAAGGCAAAGUCAACCACUAGUCAUAAUAAAAAGCACCUAAGAUACA